AGUGAACGCUGGCGGUAGGCCUAACACAUGCAAGUCGAACGGCAGCACAGUAAGAGCUUGCUCUUACGGGUGGCGAGUGGCGGACGGGUGAGGAAUACAUCGGAAUCUACUUUUUCUUGGGGGAUAACGUAGGGAAACUUCCGCUAAUACCGCAUAUGAUGUACGGGUGAAAUCAGGGGAUCUUCGGACCUUUCGCGAUUGAAUGAGACGAUGCCGGAUUAGCUAGUUGGCGGGGUAAAGGCACACCAAGGCGACGAUACGUAGCUGGUCUGAGAGGAUGAUCAGCCACACUGGAACUGAGACACGGUCCAGACUCCUACGGGAGGCAGCAGUGGGGAAUAUUGGACAAUGGGCGCAAGCCUGAUCCAGCCAUACCGCGUGAGUGAAGAAGGCCUUCGGAUUGUAAAGCCCUGUUGUUGGGAAAGAAAAGCAGCAUGUGAAUACCCCGCUGUUCUGACGGUACCCAAAGAAUAAGCACCGGCUAACUUCGUG
rnacentral:rRNA from 1 species